rnacentral:rRNA from 1 species
AUUGAACGCUGGCGGCAGGCCUAACACAUGCAAGUCGAGCGGUAGAGAGAAGCUUGCUUCUCUUGAGAGCGGCGGACGGGUGAGUAAUGCCUAGGAAUCUGCCUAGUGGUGGGGGAUAACGUUCGGAAACGGACGCUAAUACCGCAUACGUCCUACGGGAGAAAGCGGGGGAUCUUCGGACCUCGCGCCAUUAGAUGAGCCUAGGUCGGAUUAGCUAGUUGGUGAGGUAAUGGCUCACCAAGGCGACGAUCCGUAACUGGUCUGAGAGGAUGAUCAGUCACACUGGAACUGAGACACGGUCCAGACUCCUACGGGAGGCAGCAGUGGGGAAUAUUGGACAAUGGGCGAAAGACCUGAUCCAGCCAUGCCGCGUGUGUGAAGAAGGUCUUCGGAUUGUAAAGCACUUUAAGUU